rnacentral:lncRNA from 1 species
AUUAAAAAUAAAAUAAAUAAUGCGUAAAAAUAAAAAUAUUGGGACAGUCAAUGGAGAAAAGCCUAGGGUCAAAGAACAUCAAACAAGCAUACUAUGUUAUUGAAUUUCAUUCGUCAACUUGCUUAUUGUGGUUGUUGAUUCGUAGGGUUAAUAUCAUGAUCAUGGUUUCCCAACCUAUAAUCUUUUACCUAAUAUGGAC